ACAGCAGAAGAGCAGAUAAAAGCUGGGAGGAGACUCUCUGUGCAAAUCUUUGAAAAAUUGUGAACAAUUGGUUAAAGGCUGGAGGGGAGUAAAGGCUUUUUGUUACAGAGCUGCUGAGAACCCUGAAAGCUAAAGCUGCAGUUCAAAAUAAACCAAAGAGAAGGCUUCAGGAUGAAGAAGGUUCAGGAUGAGUUUUCUGGGCAGGUUUUAAAGAAUACCAGAGUUGUGGUACAAAGAGAAAUUGUGGCAAUAAGAUUGAAAAAAAUCAUAUGGCCAUGGCUUCAGAAUACCAGGGAAAAAAAUGGAUCCUUGUCAGGCGUGCUGAGUUACCUUAUUAGCCACUGAUUUGGUCUUGAACAAAAUGAAUGUUGUAAAACAAAACCAAUGCAACCAAGA